ACUGUGAAUAGGCAGAGGAGGAAGGGGUGGUCAUUGGCAGGAACGGGUGGGUGGCAGCAGAACUGUGAAGAGAACACCCCCAAAGAGUGCAAAAUGGUCUGGCAGUGAAAGGGUUAAAGCCCAACACACUGGCAGUUAUUGCAGGGAGGGCAUAUAAGGACCAGCGCAGAUUAGUGUCUCCCCGGGUGGAGAGAGAAUGAUGCAAAGUCAGUGUCUGUUCUGCAAGUGGAUCUGGACACAAUCAAACAGGAGGUUUCCUGAAACUGUCAGUCGCAGCACUGCCAGCUGAUUGGCUCACGUCUCUGCAAGGGAAUAAAACUGCUGCUCUGAUCCGUGCAAACGAAACAACUCUCAGCCUGAACAGCUGGACAGAGCACCGAAAAGAAGACAGAGAGUUUAGACCUUGAUCCGGAUUCGCGUUCGGAUGCACAAAAUGAGCCGGUGGAUUCAGUGAGCAGAGGUUCUGGGGGAAGCAGCGCAAGGAAAGAGGAGAAAUCAUCACAACCAUUCAUUGUGCUGAGCCAGGACGAGUAUGCGGAGCACCAUUCCUCCAUCAUGCACUGCAGGGUCGACUGCUCCGGGUGCCGGGUGGCUAGUGUGGAUGUUGACGGGGUGAUUAAAAUCUGGUCUAUUGAUGGCAUCAUGCAGACAAAAGCUUCCGCCAUCUCCAAGUCGGCUCUGCUCUCCCUGGAAUGGACGACAAAGAGAGACAGACUGAGCCUUCCCUAUCUGUUCCUCCUCCUCUCUGGACUACCAGCCAGCUGAAGAUUCCAGGGCAACUGUUCUAUACACUGCUGCCUAGCAACGCUGGAAUUCCCACAUUGUGUUCCAAGCCUCACUAUGGCCUGGUUGGUUGAUAUCAGUAAGCCCCGCCCAUCGCCGAGGAGCAGGAGCUGCACGUGGAGCAGGUGAGGGGGAGGUGGCUGUAAAGUUGCAGAUGGGAAUAUUGGGGACAAGAGAAGAUAUUGGAGGACACAGAAGGGAUUUUCGGGUGCAGGAGAAGAUUCUUUUUCGGGGUCUCAGCCAGAGAAGAACAAGUGACAUUGGUAUAAAACAUCCCAACACUCUUCGUUCUCAGUUUGGAGCGGGACCUCUUGGAACUGCGUUAUAGAAUGAAAGAAAAUUGCUCCCUGCCAAUGUAUAACCUUGAUGACGCUCCUGACCCAGUUGCCAAGGAUCAAGUAGUCUGAGUCAGAUUUGCUAUUAAACUCCAUGGAUCGCAGUGACGCCAAACUCAAUGGGCAGUUGGAAGCCUCGUUCCCCCGCUGUUUCCGUCAUGGCUAAAGUUACUGAUCAACUCGCAGUUCAAGAGUGGUCGAUGCCCGAGGAGGGCCCAACCUGAAAGCAAUGAGGAUACGUCCCAAAAAGAUCCGACCCUUUGCCUCGCGAAGGCAUCAAAGCAAGCAGGUGGCGGAGCUGAAGAGCGGUAUCUCAAGUCUAUACUGUGGAGCAUCGAGCACCUCCCCAGAGCAUUCCUCGUCCUGCAGCAAUCACUCCCAUACUGACACCGACACUGAACUCUGCAUCCAGCACCGACUCCGGCUUCUCUUUCCUACACCCCGCCUACUGGAAAAGUGACUACAGUUUGACGUUGCAGCAGCUAUCUGGUUGCUAGGGUAUUGCUUACCCUUAACAACCGCCCAUCGGUUUUAAUGAGUGGCUGGAAGGUGAAUAGGGACAAUGACCAUUUAGCCUCACAAAGCUGCUGGGGUCGGUGACCCCCGUUGGGACUCUGAUAAGAAGCAGAAGACCAGUUAAAAGGUUGCUAAGAAGAGGACUUUCUAUAACAUACUUAUGGUUAAUGUAAAGCAGCACUGGCCCUUUAAAGAAGUGGAUCCCAUGGGGCAGACUGUAAUAUGUGUAAUAUUAAAUGCAUGGGGUUUACUGUACACACCACGUUGUGCCUCAAUAUGCAGAGGGUGCCUCUAAAUAAAGGGGGGGGAGCCUUUGUUAGCAUUUAUUAAGCUAUUAUUUAUACUUCCCCUUUAUCCUGUGAACCCAAAUCCUCCUCAUUAGGGUUGGACUCAGUGUGUAUAUACAGUAUAUUCAGGCAGCUAUUAAUACUUCUGGAUACUGGAAGUAUCGGAGAUUUCUUUGGGGUGUAUGAGACCCCCCUGAAUCUUUUAACCGUCUAAUCUCCGUGUGAGAUUUGUGACGCUCAUGUUUGUACAUGGAUGUUUUAUAAUGAAGAUUUUGUACCUCUGUCUAGGGAAUAUUAUUCUUUCUACAAUAAACUUUACAUACUUGUA